UCCGCCCGGGAACUACGAGCGCUAGCUUAAAACCCAAAGGACUUGACGGUAUUUCAGACCCGCCUAGAGGAGCCUGUUCUAGAACCGAUAAUCCCCGUUCAACCUCACCACCUCUUGUCAUCACCGCCUAUAUACCGCCGUCGCAAGCUUACCCUGCGAGGGAUUAAUAGUAAGCAAAAUGGAAACAUCCAAAAACGUCAGGUCGAGGUGUAGCUUACGAGGUGGGAAGAAAUGGGCUACAUUUUCUAUUACAGAAUAUUACGGAAGAUCCUGUGAAACCCGGAUCCCAAGGUGGAUUUAGCAGUAAAGA
rnacentral:rRNA from 1 species